rnacentral:tRNA from 1 species
UAGACGGAUGCCCGUUGGUUUGGGCGUUUAGCUGUUAACUAAAACUUUGCAGGAUCGAAGCCUGCCUGUCUAG